rnacentral:lncRNA from 10 species
UGUGACUUGUGUACAUAAGCAUUUUUAAAAUGGAAAAGCAAUUCUGGGACAACAAGGGAUUCUGGAAGUGUCAGGAAAAGGGUAAGUUGAAGAAAGGACUUUUAAUUCAACAGGUCUUGGGUAGCAGAAGAGAUAUAAGCCUUUUAAAGAGAGAGAAGCUAAUUGGUUUCUGAUAAUAGGUGCCUGUUGGAAAGAAAAUAUUGACCUCUUGGGAUGGUUUGGGUUUGGCAAAGGUGCAUGGUCAUGGUAUCUCAGUGGGAUUUGACUCCUCAUUUGGAUACAAGUUUAUUCUAUGUGCCUCUGGUGGUUCUUUUCUUUUUAAAAUUUUUCCUUUUUAUUUUUUUGUUAACUUUUAUGUUAAGGGUACAUGUGCAGGUUGGUUAUAUAGGUAAAUUGCAUGUCACAGGGGCUUGGCAUACAGAUUAUUUUAUCACCCAGGUAAUAACCAUUGUACCCAAUAGGUAGAUUUUUGAUCCUCACCCUCCUCCCACCCUCAUUUCUGUUCAGUUCAAAUUAACAUAUUGUUGAUCUCCUUCUAUAUGUGGGGUUUGUAGAGAAUAGAAAAAGAAGUUAUACUCUCACAAUUAUAAUUAACAUUGACUGAGAACUUAUUAUGUGCCCAAGCUGUUAUAAGAAUUUUAUAAUUAUUAACUAGUUUAAUUUUUUGUGAGAUGCGCACUUUUACUACCCUCAUUUUAUGGAGAAGAAAACUAAGGCAGAUAGAAGCUAACUUACUUAGGCCUUGUGGCUGAUAGAUGGUGGAGCUGGGCAGUUGGCACUACCAUUCAGUCUGCCUUAUACCAAUAACGAAGUUGUUUUUGCAACUGAAAACUGACCUGAGCAUGUAUGAUUGGGUUUACUCACUAAAAAGGGAGGUCUAGGAGAUAAAGGGGACAGUUAGACCUUUGGAGUACCAGGAUCACCUUGAGAUGACAAAGCCAACCUGGCUCAUGAUAAUUCAUUUCAGCACAUUAUUGACGCAAACUAGAGAGCAGAGAGGCAGGCAAACCUUGCUAACCAAACAAAUAUGCUGCCACCCCCAGGACAUCAUAAGUCACCUGGGGACAGGAUGUGCUCCUGAAUCCCUUCAGAGACUGGAUGUCCUCAAAACAGCCCAGUUAGAAGGAUUGAUGGGUCGAGCUAGUCACACAAAUGAAAAUAUCCAUGUGGACCUCAACCGGCUGCUGUUGCUUCCUAAGUCCCUUAGUAAUUCAUAAACCCAAAUCCAAUGAAUGCUAAAAUGACUUGCAGCUGAAGUCUCGAUCACACUGUGCUGAAACAACUUGGAUGCAUAAGUAAAUAAAUCCUCUUUCAAAGCUCAUUAAAGUUUCUAGAAAACAUUCACUGCAUCAGCUAAACCACUGCAGCCAGUAAGCUUCAGGGAGUUCAGUAUAUUGAGGAACAUUAAAUCUUUCAAGUCAUUAGAAGGCAAUUUAACAGGCAAUCUCCUGACUGGUGGGCAGUCGCCAUAGAUACAAACAUGGAAAAUUUUUUGCCUGUAGUUAGACCUCAGUAAAUACUAAAUGAGUAAAUGAUCAGUAGUCACAGUGCCUGGUGAGUCCACAAACAUCUAUUUAAGUCAUUAUUAAAGAUUUUGCAUUUAUAAUGAAAAUAAUAGAAAGCAAUAUUAUUAUAAUUCUAGGAGGGAAAUAAAAAAUUAAAAAAUGCAAUUGAGUAAAGAAUUAUGCAUCAUGAAUCCUGGUACUGAGAUGAGAAGGUUUGGUUAUAGAAAGAGUUGAAAGUGGAGGAGGAAGAAGAAGACUGAUGGAGAUGACUGUGGAACUAUGGACACUUGAAGUUGGAUAUUUCAGAAAUGAAUGGCACUGAAUUUUUGAACAUACAUUUUACCAUGAGAUAUUUUAAGUAUAGAAAGUAUAAACAAUAACACAAUGAGCAUCCCUAUACCCACCACCUAGUUUCAUCAAAUGUUAACAUUUUCAUGGUAUUAUUUUUUAUUAGGUAUUUUAAAGUACAUUUCCAAAAUAUAUGACUUAAAAAUAUCUUAAUUACAGAUUGGUUAAAUAAAUCAAAGCAUAGCCAUAUAUUGGAAUAUUCUGCAGUUAUUUAAAAAUCGUGCAUUAAAAGAAUUUUCACUU